GACCGGCAAACGGGUGCGGAACACGUACGCAACCAUCCCAAAACUGGUGAAUAGCCCUCCGAAAGGAGGAUUAAUACACCGUAACAUAAUGAAGUGGCAUCACUUUAUUAUUAUAGCUCCGGCGGUUUUGGAUGGGCGUGCGCCUGAUUAGGUAGUUGGCGGGGUAACGGCCCACCAAGCCUGCGAUCAGUAACUGGUGUGAGAGCACGACCAGUCACACGGGCACUGAGACACGGGCCCGACUCCUACGGGAGGCAGCAGUAAGGAAUAUUGGUCAAUGGACGAAAGUCUGAACCAGCCAUGCCGCGUGAAGGAUGAAGGUCCUCUGGAUUGUAAACUUCUUUUAUCUGGGACGAAAAAAGGGAAUUCUUUCCCACUUGACGGUACCAGAGGAAUAAGCACCGGCUAACUCCGUGCCAGCAGCCGCGGUAAUACGGAGGGUGCAAGCGUUAUCCGGAUUUACUGGGUUUAAAGGGUGCGUAGGUGGGCAGUUAAGUCAGUGGUGAAAUCUCCGAGCUUAACUCGGAAACUGCCAUUGAUACUAUCUGUCUUGAAUAUCCUGGAGGUGAGCGGAAUAUGUCAUGUAGCGGUGAAAUGCUUAGAUAUGACAUAGAACACCAAUUGCGAAGGCAGCUCACUACGGGAUUAU
rnacentral:rRNA from 1 species